UAUGUGAAUUUUUAUUAUAGAAAAUCUAAUUGUAGUGAUUACAAAAGCUUGAUACAGAAGAUAACCUUUGUCCAAAAAAAUAAAAACAAUGGGAUAUCUGCAAAUAGACCGAAAGUAUCAAUAUGAUCUAUAGAUUUCUAAGCCACACUUGCAAAAGCCUUUUGAAAAUUUUCCGAUGUGCCUUUGCGAGGAUGGCAUCCCGUAUUUGCCGAUCAAGAACCUUGAAGAGAACCUGUGCUGGGUGGAUAAAUUGUUAUGCAUCCUGUUGUUUCUUUCAAUCCAAAUUGUGUAGACUAGCGCCUGAGCAACAAGACGACGAAGCGUUUGUGGAGAAGUGGUGUCUUUGAUGUCCAUCCAAGCCGAGAAAGCAUCCCAUGUGUGGAAACAAAGGGAGUGUAUCCUAACCGCCGAGUUACCUCUAACCAUAGCAGCUCACUGAAGUCGCAGUGAAGGAAGAGAUGGUCUGGCGACUCUGGAUCACGACCACACAGACAACAGGUUGUGUCCAGUUUUCCAAAGGAACACUUCAGGUGUGUUUGAGAGACUCGGAGGGGUUAAUGUGGUGAGGUGGAUUUGCAGAGUCUCCGCCUGGGGAGAGCGUGCAGAUUGAAUGAGCCACCCUGUAGGAGAACAUGCUUGAGCGACUGUUGAUGAAAUGAGGAUACCUAUUUGCCUUGGACCAGAUUGUCCCAUUAGUUGAAUUAGUGGACCUAGUGGAGUCCACCAAUCAAACCAGAAACUUACUUGCUGACCGUUACCCACUUCGCACCUGAGGAAUCUAAGUGUGAGAGGUCGAAGUUGCAGUAAGGUUCUCCAAGUCCAAGACUCAUGUUGCUUAGGUUCUCCAAGUCCAAGAGUCAACAACUAAUUCAUUUAUCGAUAUCUAUUUCUUUUUUCUAAAACAUUUGUUGAUUAGGUGAAAACAUUAACUCCCAACGUUUUUUCAAAUC